UUCCUACGGGGGGCAGCAGUGGGGAAUAUUGCACAAUGGGGGAAACCCUGAUGCAGCGACGCCGCGUGAGUGAAGAAGUAUUUCGGUAUGUAAAGCUCUAUCAGCAGGAACGAGACAAGACGGUACCUGACUAAGAAGCCCCGGCUAACUACGUGCCAGCAGCCGCGGUAAUACGUAGGGGGCAAGCGUUAUCCGGAUUUACUGGGUGUAAAGGGAGCGCAGACGGCAGUGCAAGUCUGGAGUGAAAGCCCGGGGCCCAACCCCGGACCUGCUCUGGAAACUGUGCGGCUAGAGUACUGGAGGGG
rnacentral:rRNA from 1 species